AAAAGGUUUAUCAUCCUUUCUCCCCCAAGAAGUUUUCCAAGAAAAAGAAGAACCCAUAUUUGGUUUAGAAUCAUACCUCUUUCUUUUCAAUUGCCUUUCCACUUUCGUGGCCAAAUUCACCAUAUCUUCAAUCUCCACAUAAUGUUGCAAAUCAACAACAUCAGCAAUGUCUUUGUUUAGCCCUCUCAAGAACCUUGCCAUGGUAGCUUCACGAUCUUCUAUCACAUUUGCUCUAAUCAUAGCC
rnacentral:lncRNA from 1 species